CUGCUGUUUCCUUAUUUUUUGCAGGAAAGCAAAGGGUUGUUGACUUCCUCUCCCCUCCCUUCCUUCCUUCUUUCUGAAGGUACUGUACUCAUCUGAAAAAAAAAAAAAACACAAACCCAGAACGAAAUGAUUGUUCCUGUUCUCCUUCUUAAGUCAUUUGAAACAUUGUCCCUGCUAGUUUUCUAAGUUUACUGCAAUCUCUGCACAGGGGGGAGGGAGACAGUGGGAGACAGAAACAGAUAUUACAAACAUGAGAGCAGGUAGUGUUUAGGGCAAGACUCCUUCCAGCUUCAACAACUGGUUUUUCCAUAAGAAGAAAUGGUGUACCACAGAUUCAGCCCAGUUUCUGGGAUCGGUCCUGUGAUGCCUGUAGCUGUGGCCAGUGGAAUAAGCCCACAGGCUCAGUGAAAGCAGCCAAAGGUUAGUAGUGCAAGGAAAAUGUUUAUUUCUAGUAAUUUCAAGCAGUUCUACAGGUCUGUGCUCCAGA
rnacentral:lncRNA from 1 species